rnacentral:rRNA from 1 species
UGGGGAAUAUUGGACAAUGGGGGAAACCCUGAUCCAGCAAUGCCGCGUGAGUGAAGAAGGCCUUAGGGUUGUAAAGCUCUUUCGCCCGCGAAGAUAAUGACGGUAGCGGGAGAAGAAGCCCCGGCUAACUCCGUGCCAGCAGCCGCGGUAAUACGGAGGGGGCUAGCGUUGUUCGGAAUUACUGGGCGUAAAGCGUACGUAGGCGGAUGCGCAAGUUGGGGGUGAAAUCCCGGGGCUUAACCUCGGAAUUGCCCUCAAAACUGCACGUCUUGAGACCGAGAGAGGUAAGGGGAAGUCCUAGUGUAGAGGUGAAAUUCGUAGAUAUUAGGAAGAACACCAGUGGCGAAGGCGCCUUACUGGCUCGGUACUGACGCUGAGGUACGAAAGCGUGGGGAGCAAACA